CGACGUCCCGUGGUAUUUUCCAAAAGCUUCAGGUGACUGCACAUUACUGCACCCCGAUGGUCACGUUACCACCGGCGGUUGCACGGACUUUCGGCCCUUCAUCUGUAAAAAAGGGAAGGUCAGAGAUUCUCUUCCUCUUCUUCCGCCGUCGAAAUCGGCAUCAGGCUGGAGUGCAAAGUGCGGCUGGUGGCAGGAAAACCCUAACAACUUCUGCUACCUGAUUAACCUCAAGCCCACCAAGACCUGGAAGGAGGCGCGAGACAAUUGCGUCAGCCUCAGAGGCAACCUUCUCGGCAUCACCGACUCGCACGAACACACCUUCAUACAUGGUCUUCUGCCGAACGAUCACUCUUUGUGGUUGGACACCAUUGUUGAAGACGGGAGCAAGCAAUCUGAAGAAUCCUCACCCAGUUCCGUCCACUUGGGCGCAAGUAACCCCCCCGGUGGACACUGUAACUCCUUACUAAGUGGCAAGGGUGACUGGGAAGUUGUCGACUGCGAGAAGAAGAGCGGCUACGUCUGCAAGAGAAGAG